rnacentral:rRNA from 1 species
GCGGCAGUUUUGCUGUUAGGCAAUGUGGUGUGCGGGUCGGUUAGCGGGACCGUCACUCCACUCGAAGUCCAGCAUUGAGUAUGGUUAUCACUGGAUUUGGCCCAUAGAGGGUGAGAGGCCCGUACGAGUGGAGGUUCAGAUAUGUGCGACGGUUCACUAGGCCGGCCUCAGAGUCGGGUUGUUUGAGAUG